AUCUGUACGUCAUUUCAAUUGACUGAAGGAAUCAGCGUGUCCUCCCUGACCGAGCGGUCCGGGUAACCCGCUGAACCUCCUUCGUGCUAGGGAUUGGGGCUUGCAAUUGUUCCCCAUGAACGAGGAAUUCCCAGUAAGCGCGAGUCAUAAGCUCGCGUUGAUUACGUCCC
rnacentral:ncRNA from 1 species